GCUAACUUUGUUUUUUCUCUCUUUAACCUUUAUCAAUUUAUAAUUUAUUGUGUUCCUGUGCAAAUUUAGUGCUGGAAUAUCUUUAAAAUCACAAUGUCUCAAACGCUGAGGAAAGAAAAUUUAAAAUUACAGUUCGCUGAUGAAAUCAUGACUAAAAUAUAAUUAAUCGAUUAUCGACUCACAGCAACAAUGAGAUCACCAGAUUCACUUAAAUGUUUCCUUUUUGCUGCAAAAUUGAAGAUGUAUGAAAACUAAAAUAAGAUUGUUUUUUUUCGUCAAAUAUUUACUAAAUAAUUAUGAAACUUUACCCACUUAUUCCCUUCUGUGCGCUUUACAUCUGUACAUGUCAAAAUGAAAAUUAAAAUGACUUCUUCCAAAUAACCGAUGCCAGAUUGGAGAUUUAUUAUGUGUCUUUUUAGUAGCUUUUGCGAAAAGUUACUUUGCCAUACUUAUCAUUAUAAGGAUUUUAGCAAAAGUUUG